CCAGACCGACCAGCCAAUGCCAGCUCACUUGGGGUUAGACCGGGGCUGGGAGGGGCCCAGGCAACCCUGCAGGAUGCCGGGUGCUGGGCAGAGCCCCAGGGGGAGGCAGGUUUCUGCAGCUCCCUUUUCCCAGUGGAAAAGCUCAGGAUUCCCAAAGGCUGUUGGGCAAGAGUCUCAAAUUGUCUUCAGACUGGGUCUAAUCUAGCUAGAACCACUUGGGAGCCAGGAUGUAGCUGGAUCCAGUGACAGGCGUUGCUGAGAAGUGAAGAGAGGUCCGGCGACAACUGGGAUCUCCAGUUGACCCAGUCUCAAGGGUGAGCCCAGCCCCUGGGUGUAGGGCUAGAAUCUGUGGCCUUUGGCCAACAGCCAACAACUUGGCUGCAGCAGUCUGGAAGGAGACCACAAAUGCACAAGUUCAGAGGACAAGCUGCUCCCAGGAGGUCACAAACAGCCUCAACAGUUCAAGAAGGUAAAAAUUGGUGGUUGGAGGUGAGAGAAGCCAGCGAGGGAGGAAGACCGCGUCCCAAGGAGGCUCAUGCUCACCACUGUCCAGGUUUUAAAACUCUAGUUUGCCCUGGGGUGCCUGGGGGGCUCAGUCAGUUCCACGUCGGACUCUUGGUUUCAGCUCAAGUCGUGAUCUCACAGUUUCGUGGGUUCGAGCCCCGCAAGGGGCUCUGUGCCCACAGCCUUGACAGGGCGGAGCCUGCUUGGGAUUCUCUGUCUCCCUCUCUCUCUGCUCCUCCCCUGCUCGAGCGGUCUCUGUCUCUCUCAAAAUAAAUAAAUAAACUUAAAAAAAAAAAAUCAAGUUUGCUCUCUUCGGUCCCUUGGCUUUGAGGCUGUCUCGACAGACACGAGGAGAAGGCUCAGUACGUGGGAGACAGGCCAUCUGGGCCGGGACCAAAGAGCUGCACAUUCUCAGGGCAAGUCCCUUCUUCAAGGCCAGAGGUCCCCUGUUGACGUCACACCCAUGGAGGGAGAAGAAACACCAAGAAGGGGUGAGGCGGUGACGUCGCCCUGUGUUCUCGCAGGGCUGAGGAGGUCUGUGCUCUACAUUCUUCCAUGUUGGCUCAAGCCAAAUCCCCUGUGAUGCAAACCAGGACGAGGUAGAGCCACUCCCGGAUGCCGACAUCUUUUGUUAAAGAACACGUGAGGUCACAUACACAACAAUCCCAACUGAGUUAAUUAAUUCACCUACUUAUUCAGUGUGUGAAAAUCCUCCCGGUUCUUGCUAAGUGAGUGAAAGGUGCAGGCUGGGUGGCUUUGGAUCGUGUCUAGUUGAUGAAAGACAGAUACGGAUACAAAACCUGUAAGUUCUCGAAUGCCAGUCUACUGCCCCGGACAGCAUUCAGAGGGGAGCUAUUGGAAGUUGAUAAGUAAAAAGAAAACAAACCUGCUUUUCUUUUUCUUAAUGCUUCGCCCCUGCACAAUAAGAGUUUACCUACAGACUCAGCAAACUCUGGAGUGCUGGGUGGUUCUGGGGACCAGCCAGGAUGCUAGCUGCGGGGUGUGGGGUCCUUCGCCUACAGGUCCUGGUGGUUCAGCCAGUUGUUGACAGGGCCUCUCUGCUGUCCUGUGGCAGGAAAUAAGGAAGCAGAGGCAGGGCAGUCGGGGGAGGGUUGGAGUGACCUAACCUUUCCCUUUUAGGUCCGAGGGCCCUCCCUCAAGGCGCACACUGUGUGAGAAAGGGACCCACAGCUCAGGAACCAAAACAGACACACCCAGCCCAGUGACCUCCCCACCAGCUAGUGACCAACAGCAGCCAGUCAACAGCUCUCAUCAAGAGGCUCUUAUGUACAUGACACCAUGGGGGAUCCAAUUUCCUGCAGACUGUGGCUUGGGGUUUACGUUGCUCCGGAGCCUAAGGACGAGGCUUGAAGCCUGGUCCGGUGGAAGGUGGGGAAGGGCAAGCAAGGAAACUCUUGGCACCAGAAGGAGCUGGAACUUUAUCCUGAGGGCAGGGGAGAGACGCUGGACUGGAGGAAGGACCCAGAACGAAGGGAGUGGCAGGGAGGAUGCGUGAGAAAGUAGGAGGUAGCCAAACAGGGCAAAGGAGGAGGAGAAUGGGAAAUGCAGGAAGAUCCGAAGAGGAAAGAACAUCCGCCAGAAUGUGACUGAACGUGGCUGGAGAGGAGACAGAGGCCGGAACUGAAAAGGGGUGAGUGAAAUAUGACAGAGAGGGACAGGCCCCUCCACAGCUCUCCGGAUGGUGGGUCGCCUGGCCAUGGGUGCUGCAUUGAGCCUCAGGUGAAAGGGGCAUUAGAAUAGACGUAUUAAUUCUUUUUGUUAUAGAAGGAGAAGGAGGAGGAGGAGGAGGAGAAGGAGAAGAAGAAGGAGAAAACUACCCCUGCCCCCCACCUCGCCCCCCGACCUCCCAAAGACCACCACCACGGCUAACACCCUGGAAAUUUUUCUGCCGAUGCAUUGUCAGUUUUUAUUUGGUUUUCACAUUACUGUAAUCAUAACCAUGUUUACAAUCCUGCGUCCCGCUGCACUUAAGAUCCUGGUGUGUGUAUUUUUCUGCACGUUAAAUUUAUCCUGGUUGCUGCGAAGGUUUGUAUUUAUAUAUAUAUUUACAUGCAAAGGCUCCCUUCACUGGUUUUCUCUUGGGAGAAAGAGGCUUCCCCUCACUGCCUCGCUGUAAGGUCUAAACUCCCAGAAGCUUUGAGGCACCUGCUGGGCAGAGGGAAGAUUUCGGGUGAUGGCAGUUCUCACCCGGAGGGGCUGGGGCCGGCAGGUCAGUUACUCCUGGCCGGGGACAGUUGUCAAGAUGAAGAGGACAGGAAGGCGAAUCUGGGCCAAGGCAUGUAAAGGUGUUUCCUGGCUUUUUCAAGACCCUAGAGUGUCAGAGAGAGGGAAAUGUAACAUAUUCUACUCGGAGAGGAAAUAAAUGUGUGGUCUGUCAACUAAGCCCUCGGAAGAGAGGUUUAAUAUCAUAUAGCGUUUACAGUGAUGUUUCCUAAGAGCGACUUAGCCCUUCCCCUGCUGGGUACCAUGAUUAGGUAGGUAUAUGCAGCCGAGUAGGUAGGUAAACGGAGCCGUGCUCUCUCUCCUUCCCCCUCCCUGUCUCCUCUCUCCCUUAACCCCUGGUGAAAUGUCCAAAGGAGCCUCUGUUCAGUAAUUACGACCACGAGCUCUCUUUGUCCCACGUGCCUGUCACUGUCCCCAGCCGUGGCUUGAGUGUUUCUCACGACACUACCAGGUGGUAGGUGCUGUCCUAAUGCCCAGGGAAGGUAUCUCAUUGUUCAAGGUCACUCAGCGAGAAUGCGUCGGAGCCUGGAUUUAAACCUAGGUCUCCUGACCCGAAAGCCCAUUCCCUUAGCUGCUGCUCCAAUACUCCCCUUUUCAAUGCAGGACAGAUCUUCAGUGGGAUUUUGUUGCACAGAUAUGCAUGCAUUUCAAAGCUCUUUUUUAGAAGAGGUACCAAGAGGUCUGCAUUUUUUGCAGUUCAGUGUUGGGUGACUGCUUUUUUGGGCCAAGUGUAAGAGCAACCCAUAAAAAACUCUCUGCCUUUUCCUGAGCCAUCCAGAAAAACACUCAGAGCUUUGCCCAAACAGCGCAGCCUGGCUGUAGACGUGUCAAGGCUUUGUGUUCGUCUGACAUCCAGGGCCAAGGGCCGCAGAGCAAGGACAGCAGAGCAAGGACAGCGUGUUCCGCUGGCCUGAUCUAAUCAGAACACUGCCGCCACCGCACGCCUGUCUCCCACGUGUCCUAAAGAGUCCACCCUCCCAUCCCCCAAUGUCUCUGUUCCUGCCUCCAUCGACCAGCAGGACAGUUUAAGGAGUAGAGAACUUUGUCGGGAAGAGGAAGUCACCAGCAUCGAUUUCGAAAGAUGCUUCUGCGCGUGUCCCUUCCGUAAGACCCUCGCAUGACUUUCUCGGGGGGCAGCAGCCCCGCCUGCAGUCCACCCGCCCCCACUUGCCACAUGCUUCCUGCCCCAAAUGUCAAGGUUUUCAUCUGACCGUGAUCUAAUGAGCUGCAUAAAAUUACAAACAGCGAAA